rnacentral:rRNA from 1 species
CCUGGCUCAGGAUUAACGCUAGCGGCAGGCCUAAUACAUGCAAGUCGAACGGCAGCGGGUCCAGCAAUGGAUGCCGGCGAGUGGCGCACGGGUGCGUAACACGUAUGCAAUCUACCCUUAACUGGGGGAUAGCCCCGAGAAAUCGGGAUUAAUACCCCAUAAUAUUAUAGAGAGGAGUCUCUUUAUAAUUAAAGCUCCGGCGGUUUUGGAUGAGCAUGCGCGACAUUAGCUAGUUGGUGAGGUAACGGCUCACCAAGGCUUCGGUGUCUAGGGGUUCUGAGAGGAUUCACCCCCACACUGGUACUGAGACACGGACCAGMCYCCUACGGGAGGCAGCAGUAAGGAAUAUUGGUCAAUGGACGCAAGUCUGAACCAGCCAUGCCGCGUGAAGGAAGACG